rnacentral:misc_RNA from 1 species
AAAAAAAAAAAAAGAAAACAAAAACUCAAGGUGGCAAUUGAAGAACAUGGAUAAAUUUACCAGACAAACGGAAAAUGAUUAACUUGAAAGAUGUUUUAACCUAGGAUAAAUAAUUAAAGAAAAAGCAAAUACAUCUACCUCAAAUUUUUUUUCCAGUAAGACCAUUUAAAUGAUUCUGAUCAUGAACAAAUUGCAAUCACUAGUUGCCAGCCAAAGUUACAACUUUUUAUUCUAUUGCUCCAUGUAGACAUAAUCGGCAGUAAAGUUUAUAGACACGGAGACAUAUAAUCCUUUCUUACAUACAUAAUAUGCUGGCAGAACUUAAAGCUACGUUGUAAUGAUUACAGCAUAGAUUGCAGCAUUAUAUAUUGCCAGGAAAAGACAAGGGCAUAACAGAUGAUCAAACUUGUAAAACAAUAUAUUUAUAUAUAAGAUGAUAGCAAUAACACCU